UACGGAGGGUGCAAGCGUUAUCCGGAUUCACUGGGCUUAAAGGGCGCGUAGGCGGCUUUGUAAGUCAGUGGUGAAAUCUCGGAGCUUAACUCCGCAACUGCCAUUGAUACUGCUUAGCUUGAAUCAAGUAGAGGUGGAUGGAAUAUUACAUGUAGCGGUGAAAUGCUUAGAUAUGUAAUAGAACACCGAUUGCGAAGGCAGUUCACUAUGCUUGUAUUGACACUGAGGCACGAAAGCGUGGGGAUCAAACAGG
rnacentral:rRNA from 1 species